UAUGUGAUCGUCUCUCGCAUAUCAAUAAGCGGAGGAAAAGAAACUAACAAGGAUUCCCCUAGUAACGGCGAGUGAAGCGGGAAGAGCUCAAAUUUGAAAUCUUAAAGGGUUUCCCUUUACGAAUUGUAGUUUAAAGAAGUGUUUUCUGUUGAGGUUUUGGUAAAAGUUCUUUGGAAUAGGACAUCAUAGAGGGUGAGAAUCCCGUAUUUGACCUUUACUUUCAACUUUGUGAUACACUUUCAAAGAGUCGGAUUGUUUGGGAAUGCAGUCCAAAAUGGGUGGUAAAUUUCAUCUAAAGCUAAAUAUUGGCGAGAGACCGAUAGCGAACAAGUACCGUGAGGGAAAGAUGAAAGGAACUUUGAAAAGAGAGUUAAACAGUACGUGAAAUUGUCAAAAGGGAAGCGUUUGACACCAGUGUUGUUUUUCUGAAAAUCAAUUAAAGAACUGUUUAUGCUAAGUUGUUUAGACUUUAUCAGCUAACUGUUUAGUUUUGAGCUUUUCUUUAAUGCACUUUUCAGUUAACAAGUCAACAUCAAUUUCUUUUGCUGUAAAAAAGCUUGAGGAAGGUGGCUUGAGAUUCGUCUUAAGUGUUUAUAGCCUCUUGCCUAUGCAGUCGGAGAGAUUGAGGUCUGCAGCGUAGAUCCUUCGGGGCUAAAUGCAUUUGUGCUAAGUUAUAGCAUUUUAUAGACAACUUGUUGACUAUGAUUUGUCUUGUAGCUUACUCGCUUAUGUUAUUUUACCUACGCUUAGGAUGUUGAUCUACAGAGCGAGAGU
rnacentral:rRNA from 1 species